rnacentral:rRNA from 1 species
AUAGUUUGAUCAUGGGGUCACAGUGAACGCUGGCGGUAGGCCUAACACAUGCAAGUCGAGCGGAUGACGGGAGCUUGCUCCUUGAUUCAGCGGCGGACGGGUGAGUAAUACCUAGGAAUCUGCCUGAUAGUGGGGGACAACGUUUCGAAAGGAACGCUAAUACCGCAUACAUCCUACGGGAGAAAGCAGGGGACCUUCGGGCCUUGCGCUAUCAGAUGAGCCUAGGUCUGAUUAGCUAGCUGGUGAGGUAAUGGCUCACCAAGGCGACGAUCCGUAACUGGUCUGAGAGGAUGAUCAGUCACGCUGGAACUGAUACACGGUCCAGACUCCUACGGGAGGCAGCAGUGGGGAAUAUUGGACAAUGGGCGAAAGCCUGAUCCAGCCAUGCCGCGUGUGUGAAGAAGGUCUUCGGAUUGUAAAGCACUAUAAGUUGGGAGGAAGGUCACUAAUCUAAUACCUUGCUGUUUUGACGUUACCGACAGAAGAUGCACCUGCUAACUCUGUGCCAUCAGCCGCGGUAAUA